GCAUGUGACAACAUGACAUUUUCACUUCACAAGUGGAUUUGUCAAUUACAACAUCUAGCACAUUUUUCCCAUGAAUAGCUCGGGUUUUAAUAAAACAAAGUAUGAUUUAACUUUCAUAAAAUAUAUUUUCUAACUAAAGGCAACGGCCAGUUUUUACGAAAUUGCAAGAGGAAUAUGUGUCAUUUUCAUCAAAAUAUGUAUUUUAAGACACUUAUUAUUCCAGAUGAGGAAGGACAAACAAAGUAUUGAACAUACCUGUGGAAACAGCAACAACUCAUCUUCUAUCAAAAGUAAAAUAUGAACACUUCCUUGUUUCCAUACUGCUGUACCCUGCUUCUGAAUCUCUGACAAUGAGUGAAACAUUUCCACUUGUCGCCCAUUUGUAAAUAAAAAUUCUUCGCACGUUUUCAUGCGAUUAAGUCGUUGUAUCGUUGCGUAAGAGCACUACAACUUAAUCUUUCAACAAACACUUUAUUUUCCAUGAACAAACCAGUAAAAGAGGACAAAAAAUCCUCUCACAAUGCAUAUUUUCAGCGUUCGAAGAAUCAAAAUGUUUGUUAAAGAAAUG